rnacentral:lncRNA from 1 species
AUUAAUAUAUUUUAUUUUCUUUUCACUAGACAUUGAGACAAAACAGCAAAUUUAAAGAACUAUUGCACAAGUUGUAAAUACAGCGUUCACCAAGAUGAAAACAAAAAGAGGGAGGACAGAAAUGGGAAAGUAAUGGCAUUAGGUAGCCUAAAGGAGGAAGAACCCAAACAACAAAGAAGAUGGCUAGUGAGUUCUUCAGCCCGGUGCUGGGAAGUUGAGGACAACAGAGACCCUGCACCUGCACCUCUGCCUAAGGAAAACCAGUAGAAGAGGCGUUUUUAGAGCCAGCAGCAGAAACACAAACCAGCUGGGCUGCCCUUCCCAAGGGUGAGUGCUCCGAGGAGUAGAGCUGGUUGAGCUUCUGAAGGUG